UACGUAGGUGACCAGCGUUGUCCGGAUUUACUGGGCGUAAAGAGCGCGCAGGCGGUCGUUCAAGUCGAGUGUGAAAGCCCCCGGCUCAACUGGGGAGGGUCAUUCGAUACUGAUCGACUUGAAGGCAGGAGAGGGAAGUGGAAUUCCCGGUGUAGUGGUGAAAUGCGUAGAUAUCGGGAGGAACACCAGUGGCGAAGGCGGUUCUCUGGGCAUUACCUGACGCUGAGGAGCGAAAGCGUGGGGAGCGAACAGG
rnacentral:rRNA from 1 species